rnacentral:misc_RNA from 1 species
AAGUCGUAACAAGGUUUCCGUAGGUGAACCUGCGGAAGGAUCAUUAUUGAAUAAAUCUGGCGUUAGGUUGUAGCUGGCUCUCAGGAGCAUGUGCACACCUGUCAUUUUUAUCUUUCCACCAUGUGCACUUUGCAUAGGUCUGAAAAUCACUAGUCCUUGUGGACUUUUGAUGUCUUGGGAACUGCUGUUCUUCACAGUCAGCUUUUCCUGUCUUCAGGCUCUAUGAUUUUUAUAUACACCAUGUAUGUUAAAGAACGCUUUACAGGCCUUCAAAGCCUAUAAACAUAAUACAACUUUCAGCAACGGAUCUCUUGGCUCUC